GGAGGUAUACCCAAGUCUGGCUGAAGGGGUCGGUCUUGAAAACCGAAAGGCGGGUCAAACCGCGCGGGGGUUCGAAUCCCUCUACCUCCUCCA
rnacentral:tRNA from 1 species